AACGAGUGCAAAAAGGGUGCUUAUCACUUUCCAUUUGCGCAUCGCUGCCGAUAAUCUACGAAUCGUCGCGCCUGUUUUCAACUUUGAAACGCCAUGACAGGAUGCCAUUGCCGCCAUGGUGUAGGCGCCAUGCACAGAUAUCUCAAAGGCUUAGGAUUGGCCCUGACAAGCUGUGAUACUACAAUGCUAAGGGAACAAGCAAUGGACGUAUGGUGGCAUAUCUUGCGAAGAAACAGUUCACUAUGGCCAUUGGAGCGGGAAUUUUCUUCGUGCCUCUCCAUCUCUCGUCUAGCGGCCUGUUCCGUGAAGCCGCAAAAUUAACUUAGUAGACAAGGGAAAUAUACUAGUCUAUU